UCUACACCGAAUCCUCAAGAAGACAUCUUAUGAACUCCUAACCGGUGACCUGGCAACCGUAUCUUGAUCCAUAUUUCGCCAGCAUACAGUUGAGCAGCAUGUGCUCAAUAGACGAGGACAUCUACCUAAUGAGGUGUCCCCUCAUUUGUUUUUAUGCUGUUGAGUACCACUUGCCCCACAGAGUUGCUCGACAGUUCGGAUUGCGACAGGAGUUUCCGGUGGAGCCCUUCUCGACUUCAAUAGAACUUCAUAAGUUCGACAGACAGAGACAGAAGAAGGUCACGGACUUCGAGACCCACCACCGUGAUUAUAUUGAUGAAUGGGAACAGCAGGGGGAUCUUAACUAUGUUAUGUGUUUUGGACUAUGUUUUGUGGACAUUGUAUUUUGGACUAUGUUUUGUGGACAUUGUAUGAAGAACUAUGUUAUGUGGAUGUUUUUAUAUUCUCUGUUAUUUUGUGAUGUAUUAUAUGUUGAAAUG